rnacentral:rRNA from 1 species
CAGCCGUAAACAAUGUGCGUUAGGUGUGUCGGUAACCACGUGUUACUGAUGCGCCGAAGAGAAAUCGUGAAACGCACCACCUGGGAAGUACGGUCGCAAGGCUGAAACUUAAAGGAAUUGGCGGGGGGAGGCACCACAACAGGUGGGAGCCUGCGGUUUAAAUUUGGAUUCAACGCCGGACAUCUCACCGGAUAAGACAGCUGAAUGAUUGUCAAUCUGAAGGUUUUACAUGACUAGCUGAGAGGUGGUGCAUGGC